UGUCAUGGUUGGUGUGUAUAUCCGUUUCUGCGGUAACGGAUAUACACACCAACCAACCAA
rnacentral:misc_RNA from 1 species